rnacentral:rRNA from 1 species
UAUAACGGUCAUAGCGGAGGAGCCACAUCCGAUCCCGUCCCGAUCUCGGAAAUUAAGCCCUCCAGCGAUACCCUAAGUACUGCCAUUUGGUGGGAACAGGGUGACGCUGUUGAUC